UACGUAGGGGGCAAGCGUUAUCCGGAUUUAUUGGGCGUAAAGAGCUCGUAGGCGGCCGUCUACGUCGGAUGUGAAAGCUCAGGGCUCAACUCUGAGACGCCAUUCGAUACGGGACGGCUAGAGGUAGGUAGGGGAAAGUGGAAUUCCUGGUGUAGCGGUGAAAUGCGCAGAUAUCAGGAGGAACACCGGUGGCGAAGGCGGCUUUCUGGGCCUUACCUGACGCUGAGGAGCGAAAGCUGGGGGAGCGAACGGG
rnacentral:rRNA from 1 species